GUUUCUGGCAUCUAUAGCUCCUGGAUCAGAGUGCCUCUGUUUUAGUCCUGGCUUUAUCCCUUCUUGUCUUUGGACCUUGGGCAGAGUAUUUAAUCUCACUGUGCCUCAGUUUCCUCGUCUGUGAAAUUAGGGUCAUCAUUUUACGUACCAGCUGUUUGGAAGAGUCACCAGAUUCACUGAAGAGCACUCUUCAGGCUUCACUCACCCUGGUCUGGGAAUCCUUCAUCUCUGAGAUUAGAACCAAAAGCACCCUCCUUGGUGGUCACAUCUGAAGAGGACAGCGCUGUAAUUGGACUAAGCAGACAUCACUCUUAGCCAGCCCCCAGCCAUCUGGUAUGUACUCU